GAUGAACGCCGGCGGUGUGCCUAAUACAUGCAAGUCGUACGCACUGGCCCAACUGAUUGAUGGUGCUUGCACCUGAUUGACGAUGGAUCACCAGUGAGUGGCGGACGGGUGAGUAACACGUAGGUAACCUGCCCCGGAGCGGGGGAUAACAUUUGGAAACAGAUGCUAAUACCGCAUAACAAUAAAAGCCGCAUGGCUUUUAUUUGAAAGAUGGCUUUGGCUAUCACUCUGGGAUGAACCUGCGGUGCAUUAGCUAGUUGGUAAGGUAACGGCUUACCAAGGCGAUGAUGCAUAGCCGAGUUGAGAGACUGAUCGGCCACAAUGGAACUGAGACACGGUCCAU
rnacentral:rRNA from 1 species